ACAAUUUUUAUUUUACCAAGGAGCAAAACUGAGUAAGUUUCCUGACGAAAAUAAUGAGUGUCUACUGUUCUAGGGCCUUUAACAACAACAACAACAAAUUUACAUUAACGCACAUUAUGUGCCAGGAAUUGCAAGAUGCAUAAGAUUAGUUUUUAAAAUGUGCCUGCUAGAGCUGAACAGGUAAGAUCAUUUAUUAAAGGAUUUCAGGAUUUUUUUUUUCCAUUAUGGACAAGCCUAGGUGUUGCAGAGCAGUGCUUCUCAAAGCACUGAUGUGCACACUAAUCAUUAGGGAGCUUGUCAGAAUUCAAAAUCUGACUCAGUGGGUCUGGAGUGGUGUCCGAGAUUUAACAAGCUCCCAGGUGAUGUUGAUGCUGCUGGUUGGCAUUUGAGUAGCAAAGCUGUGCCGUAUUUAAAGAAUUAGCCCUAACUACCAAUAUGAAAACUUUACAUCCCUGAAUCUUCAAUUACUCUGAGGUGACACUACUAUUAUUCUGGCUUCACAGUCGAGAAGGCACUGAGAAGUGAACUUUCCAGAGAUCACAGAGCUGAGAUGUGGGAAGGCAGGAUUCAAACUUAGGUUGACUGACUGCAGGGCAUUUUCAACUGUUUGCCUCCCAAUAUUAUCUCAAUUAAUAGGUAACGAGAGUUCGAAGCCGGGUCCAGAGCUAUCUUCUGUAACAUUCUUCUGGGUCGAGUCCCUGCCCCGCUACGAGACUAUACGUAACAUGGACCUGGAAAAGCUUAAAAAUAUGAAGAGGAUUGAACUGGCUGCCAUCUGUGCAUCUUCAUUUAUGAAAACACUCCUCAUAGACUUAAAACAAAUGACAGAGAACAAAUUAGUCAGCUUCUUCUAAAAUACAGUGGUCUCCCCUUACCCUCAGUUUCACUUUCUGCAGUCAACUGCAGUCCGAAAAUACUACAUACAAUUAGAUAUUCGGAGAGAGAGACACCACAUUUACAUAAAUGUUAUUUCAGUAUACUGUUAUAAUUGUUCUAUUUUUAUUAGUUGUUGUUGUUACUGUGCCUAACUUACACAUUAAACUUUAUCACAGGUAUGUAUGUAUAGGAAAAAACAUAGACUAUAUAGGAUUUGGUACUAUCCACGGUUUCAGGCAUCCACUGGGGGUCUUGGAACGCAUCCCCCUCAGAUAAGGGGGGACUACUGUAAACAGAAAAUAACAACAAUUCAAAUUGUUAAAAACAAUUCUUGAAAGUUAUCCUUUACAAUAGAUUAAUAUAUAUGAUCUGAGCUGAAAGAAUGGCAAGCAAUGGAGACAAUAUUUCUCUUCUGUUUCUAGUAGAUAUUUUCAAUUUUAAGCAUAGUUUUAAAAAGUACAACCCUCUUUUAAGGGCUUAAACCAAGGUGGCUGUGCUGAUUGGCUUAGCUGGCUAGUUCACAGUGCCAAGGACAGGGUUUCAAUCUCAUUCUUCUCAGUUGUCCUGCCAGAGAUUGUUCUUUCAGACCAGGCCAGCCAUUUGACAGAUGUAAGCCACUGGCCUCAAGGAACACAAGCCAGACAGUGGUGGUCAAUGCAAACCUUGAGCAUCACUGGAAAAAUUAAGCAGGUGUCCUACUGCAUUAUUUCCAUACAUAGAAAAACCACAGAAAUACAUUCUAUUUUUAAAGAGUUGUUUUUCAACUAUUAAUACCUAUAAGGUUUAAAAAUAUUUUCAGAGAAAAAAAAUUUAGCAACUAGAAUUUAUAAUGCUACCAUUUACUAUCAUUAUUUGUCCUUCACUUCAUUUGUCACCUUACCAGAGAAUUCCUUGCCACUCUCAUCUCCUUAAUCUGCUUAUUUUUCUUCUUACUACUUUCCACUAACUGAUGUUAUAUUAAAUAUUUAUUUAUUUGGUGUCUGCCUCUCCCAACUAGAAUGUGAGCUGCCUGACAGAGCAAGGCCUUAGCUUGGUGUGUGUUUCUGGUAUAUCUUCAGGGCCCAGAACAGGGCCUGGCACACCCACAACUGAAUAAACUUUUGAUGAAUUCUGUCACAUAUUUAUUACAGGAGCUUAAUUCAUGGAUAUCUUUAACAGGACAUCAAAAACAGUAGAUCAUUUACAAGCCAAGAACAUACUGCUAACUAUUGAACCAGAAUGUAUUUGUUGUCUAUAGGCAGCAGCCUAUAUAGCAAAAGAACUCAAGACUUUUGACAUAGCCCUUCCAAGUUUCAAAGGUGUGCAACAUCUUCACCAUUUAUUUCCAUGGGAUCAUUCAAUGUGGGUGACAUUUAGACACUGAAAGCAGGGCAGUGGGACUGGCUAUUCAAUUCAUCCUCAGUAAUAAAAUCUAAAAUUAUCAAAACCAGUGUCUUUCUCAAUCAGACUAUUAGAAAUAAGUACCAGAGAAAAGAAACAGAAUAACAAUAUACUUAUACAUUAAAGCUUUAAAAAAGCUCCACCUUAUUUUUCAACUCCAACUGACACAGAAAUAAACUAAAAUUUAAAUAGAUAAUGUAUAGACUACACUCAUACUCUCACAUUCUCUCCCAUUGCUGAACUUAAAAAUUACUGAAUUAGAUUAUCCGGAAGGUAAAAGGACAAAUGCAAUAGGAAGGAUACAAUAAAGAAAGGCCAUGGAUGAACAAUGUAAAUCUCUGGAAGAAUUCCCAAACCUCAACCCUUUAGCACAGUGGACUACAGUACCAUUUUAUCCUUUUUAGAUGUAUAUGUAUUUAUUUGAGGCCACGUGCAACAGAAAAAUAUACCUAUUUACAAUCAUACUGCUAGUCAGUGACAGUACCAGACCUGUAACAGCGACAGUACCAGACCUGCAACUAAUGUCUCUGAACUCAUAGCUUUUCCUACCAUAUUUUGCAGUCUUUACUCUCAGAAAGAAAUAUGAAGAAACUGUUUUAAUUUUCAUGCCCUGAAUCAAACUUUGCCCACUCCAGUGUGAAAUGAUAAGAGUACCAGUCAAGAAAUCAGAAGACCUGGGUUUCAUCCUGGUUCAAUACUACCAACUAGUUCCAUGACCUUGGGCAAGCUACUUCACCUCUCAGAGUCUCAGAAAGGGUUAGUCUGAUAUAAUUUCCAAGCUUCAGCCAUUCACAGACUACAUUAAUAAUUUUAGCCACAUUCACGCUGUUAAUUUACUUGAUAUGUCACUUUGAAUGUACAGUUUUAAAAUGUAAAUAACUUUAGUCCUGUCCUAAGCAAAAUUUAUGAAAUUUAUGUUAAUAUAAUUUUUCUAAUUUACAUUAAAAUAUGUAAAUGAUAAUGCAUGCCCACUCACCAUAAAUUACAUCUUGGAAAGCAUAAAAUAUUUUUAAGGUCCAUCAUAGCUCUAAAAUUCUAAUAUGCUAAUUAAGUCUCACAGUUUUGCUAUCAUAAAAACAAGGGUUAAAAAUUAUAAUCUCAUCAUCCUGAGUUACGUAAUGAGCACCCCCACCAUUUUCCACAACAGCUCCUCUAUAGUCACAAAGUUGGCUAUUUCCCUAAUACAAUGAUUCCUUUACUUUUACUUUAGGGUUCUUACUUAUAUAUAAAAAUUACUCAGGCCACUGAAUUAAAAACUGGAGAUAAUAAAAACUAAGAGAAACAGUGCAAAUCACUAAAUAAAAGGGAUAUAUAUGUGUAUUUCUCAAUUCAACAAAGGUCCAAUAACUAAAAUAGAUUUGCUUCUGGGGAUUCUAAACAAAAAGUUGACCCCCAUCCCCCAUCUUUCUCUUUCCCACUACUCAAUUUUCAUCUUCCUCAGUCUCCAAAACCU
rnacentral:lncRNA from 1 species